rnacentral:rRNA from 1 species
GACGAACGCUGGCGGCGUGCCUAAUACAUGCAAGUUGAGCGAUGAAGAUUGGUGCUUGCACCAAUUUGAAGAGCAGCGAACGAGUGAGUAACGCGUGGGGAAUCUGCCUUUGAGCGGGGGACAACAUUUGGAAACGAAUGCUAAUACCGCAUAACAACUUUAAACAUAAGUUUUAAGUUUGAAAGAUGCAAUUGCAUCACUCAAAGAUGAUCCCGCGUUGUAUUAGCUAGUUGGUGAGGUAAAGGCUCACCAAGGCGAUGAUACAUAGCCGACCUGAGAGGGUGAUCGGCCACAUUGGGACUGAGACACGGCCCAAACUCCUACGGGAGGCAGCAGUAGGGAAUCUUCGGCAAUGGACGAAAGUCUGACCGAGCAACGCCGCGUGAGUGAAGAAGGUUUUCGGAUCGUAAAACUCUGUUGGUAGAGAAGAACGUUGGUGAGAGUGGAAAGCUCAUCAAGUGACGGUAACUACCCAGAAAGGGACGGCUAACUACGUG